rnacentral:lncRNA from 1 species
UAGCACCCAAAGUGUCCUAGGUACUCCUAGGGAGCCCUUUUUGUGUGCAUAUGUAUUUUGUACAAAGUGAUGUUUACAAACAAAUAGAAUGGGGGAUGAGAAAAGAAUUGAUUAAUUAUAUUUUUGUGUUUGACAAGACCUUCGGUCUUGUUCCUACAUACCAACAUAAAAAUGAGGGAUCAAAACCUCGUAGUUUGUGCUAGAAAUUAUAAAAUGAGUGUGUUGGUUUUUAACAAAAUUUAAGUUUGAAAAGGCACAAAGGCCUAAAAUG